rnacentral:rRNA from 1 species
AACAUUGCAAUUACUAACGUCUAUGCCCCCUCCCGCCGUUCUCAAAAACAAUCCUUCUUGGACGAGCUUUUAUCCAUCAAGCAGGAUGAUUCGACUCCCUGGCUCCUGAUCGGUGAUUUUAACUUGCUUCACUUCUCGGACGAAAAUAAUAAAUAGAACUUUCGGCAAAGCGAAGCCACGGCCUUUAAUGACACUAUCAAUGAACUAGCCCUAAUAGAACUCCCAUUACUGGACCGCCAUUUUACUUGGUAAAAUAAUUGA